UGGGGUAUAUUGGACAAUGGGCGCAAGCCUGAUCCAGCCAUGCCGCGUGAGUGAAGAAGGCCCUAGGGUUGUAAAGCUCUUUCACCCGUGAAGAUGAUGACGGUAGCGGGAGAAGAAGCCCCGGCUAACUCCGUGCCAGCAGCCGCGGUAAUACGGAGGGGGCAAGCGUUGUUCGGAAUUACUGGGCGUAAAGGGCGCGUAGGCGGACGAUCAAGUCAGGGGUGAAAGGCCUGGGCUCAACCCGGGAAUUGCCUUUGAAACUGGUAGUCUAGAGUCCGGGAGAGGAUUGGGGAAUUCCCAGUGUAGAGGUGAAAUUCGUAGAUAUUGGGAAGAACACCGGUGGCGAAGGCGGCCACCUGGUCCGGCACUGACGCUGAGGCGCGAAAGCGUGGGGAGCAAACAGGAUUAGAUACCCGCGUAGUCC
rnacentral:rRNA from 1 species